AAAAUCUGCACUGCCCUCCAGCAGGCCCCUGCCCUGCCCUUCCUCCUCCAAGGGCUGUGCUGUCCCUGUGCCAUUGCACCACCUGAGAGAAGCAGGCCAUCUCUCAGCCAUUUGCCCUCCAACUUGCCCCUCGUUCAUGGCCUCUCUGCUCAGCUCCUUUCUGAGCAGCAGGUGCCUCUUGCAGCAGGGAAUGCCCCCGGCCCAGGUGCAGCACAUCAGCGUUAGGGCCCAUCCUGCAGGUGGGCGGGGAGCAGUGCUGGGGCUGAUUUAUUCCCUGUCCUGGCUGUGGGACAUGCUGCUGGGGGAAGGUGUGAGUGUUCAUGCAGGAGCAAAAUGCGGUGUGGAAGAGAAGAACGUAAUGAAACUUACUCCAAAUAUCCCGAGGGUAUCCAAGGCGUUCCGUGCUGCAGUGAGCUGGGCAGGCAGCUUCCUUAUAUUUGGAGAGCCUGUGAAAAGAGAAGUGAGAAAUGAAUUGCACCAGAGGGGCUCAGCCUAUUUUUAUUAGCAGAGCAGGAUGUGGAUACAAAGAUCUAUGAGAACCAUGGAGUCAUUAAGGCUGGAAAAGCCCUCUGAGAUCCCNGUGUGCUGCUGGUGCUCUGGCUGAUGGUGAAGCCUGAAAGUACGCAUUCCCAGGGGGUUUGUUUGGAGCACUGAGCUUCCAGCUUCUCCCUCACUGAUGGUCCAGAUUCUGGACUCGGCUGGAACAUCUGUGUGCGGUGCUGAGCAACCUGCUCUGAUGGGAGGAGGGCACGGGUGGUUCCUGGGUCAGAAACAGUGCCCUGGGUGUGGUGGAAGAUGGGAAUGUUUGCUCCCAUCUUGUUGUUGUCUCCUCUGUGCUGAGCUGCCUGGCCCUGCACAUCACAGCACUCCAUUACCUGCCCAGGGCUCACUGAGCACUUGUUGAGAGAGACCUGAAAUAAAGUAAUACUUCUGAAAUCGCUUACUUUAUAAAACAGCCAGUAUGGAUUUCUUUUUUCUUUCGAAUGCUAUUUUAGUGCAAACUGGAAAUUGCAUUUAAAUGAGUGCUUAGUCCAUGAGCCAUUGAGAAAAUCAAUACCAAACCUAAC
rnacentral:lncRNA from 1 species